GGGGAAACAUAUGAUAUUUUGUUAGGUUGGAAGUUGGUUAACUUAAGUAACUUAGGGUUUGGAAUAAAAGACCUAGGUAUUAUACCUAUACCUCCCGAUUUCCGGUUGAUUGUGGCUCGAAUCGCCGUUCCAUCUCUACUCAUCACCUUCGCUGUUGUCGAUCAGCUCUCCACCAAGCUCAGGUUUCCGAUCAAGCACCAAAAGAUCUCGAUGGAGUUGCGAUUGGAUGUGGAGUCCCUUGACCACCACACCGGCGGCACGACUACAGCUAGGGCGGGGGCUCUGACAGAGGAACGAGGAAAGGAAGGCAAGUACUCUGCAAUAUGAUGGUAUGAGAUCUGCAAGGUAGAGGAUAGGAGCUUGGAAGAGUUGAUAUGUUCACCGAUUAUGUUCAACAGGUUGAUUGAGAUGCGAUUUGGUGCUUCUGUGUUAUCUCAAUUUCAUCUCAUGAUUUUCAUGAUUUCUGCAAAAGAUGAGAACAUCUUUGAUGGGGUUUGAGUUGUACUGGUUUUCCUCUCGUGAAUUGAGUUCUGAUUUGAGUUCUUUGGUUUUGAGUUGCGAAUUGGUUCUUCCGAUGGUGCUCAUGUCUCCGAUUAAGAAUUCUGUGAGAUUCUGGUUUUGAAAGUGAGUUGUCACAAAGUUUUGCUAUGAUUUGUGAUUGACAUGAGCUUCAAAGUGGUUUCCUCUUGUCGAUCUGAUCCUGCGAUCCGGUUUCUGGUAGCCUUGGUUAGUUUUCUUUAUGCCACUGGAAGCUUUGGAACAAUUCGUUUGGAUUUCUGUAGAGUUAGUUGAUGACCUAGCUAUAUUCCGUUUGGAUUCAGUGAACAUUGUUUGGAACUGGAAUUUGAUAUGGAAUUUUAUCUCUCGAGAUUGUUCCGAGGAUAGUGAAUUUUGUUUAGGUUGUAUCUAUUUGUUUAUACUUUCUGUUAUUGUACAGUUUUGAUUUGUGAGUUAUUAGAUGACCAUGGAAUUCAAUGAGAUUUGUUUUGUUAUGCGGAUAAGGUUGAUUUGUUGGGAGUUAACUUUGGUGUGGUUUUGAUUCAUGGGGAGUUAAUUUUGAUUGUGAUUUUGGUUUCUUACGAGUCAGCUGCGUUUUUUUAUGGAAGGAUUUAGUAGACUAUGAGCUUUCUUUGGAGGUUUGAACGUGGAUUUGUGCUGUGGUUGUUCCUGUUGCUGUGAGAAAUUUGUGUUUUACAGCGGUCUUUUGAAAUGGGCGAUGGCUUUGGGAUUUUCUAUUGGGUUGGUAGGUGUAAACACGGAUUCAAAGUUGGUUCUUCUUUCUUCUGAUGUUUUCAUUGGUGUGCUGGAAUUCCAUAUCAGAUUCGUUAAAGGUAUUGAUUCGAGAUUUUUUUUAUUUUUAUUUUUAUUUUGUUGCUUUGUUGCUAGAAGAAUAGACAAGUAUGGACUGUAGGAAGUGAUAUGUUUAAGGAAUGACUGAAGUAUACAAAUGUUAUGAAACGAAUAUAGAAAGAAUGACUGGAAUAUGCUAUGAAAUGAAUGACUGGAAUUUACUAUGAUAUAUUAACUAUGUAGCUAAUUGGAUGUGUAUGAGCAUAUGUGGUAGCAGUACGGGAUGGGUGACCCGGGAUGAGCUCCGGGGAGGGCCCAUCCAAACUUGACUGAUAUGGUUAGCUUCGGCUAUAUGACUGGAUGCAUGUUCUCUACGAGGUACCUCUAGGUUCAUGGGACUGUUGAUUGGGCUCUAAAUUGUGGUUACCGGAUAUGUGACAUAUUCACCUUAUUAGCUACGUAGGAACACUGUUGCAUGAUAUAUCUUUCUUAUGUCGUACUUGGUUGUGCUAUGUUUUCUUAAAAAGGCUUCCAGUUGCUAUUUCUACUACCUUAUGGAUAUCUUCAUACUCAUAUUGGUCUGUACUUGCUGGGUCGUAGACUCACCACAUUUAUAUUACAGGUGAGGAUGACUUUCAGGAUAUGCCAGAAGGCCCACGGACGAGUAGACGAGGAGGCGGGAUGGACGCAUGGUACUGUCCGUUGUCCGAGAGGGCAGUGCAUACUGGAUCUACCAAGAGAGAUUUUCAUUUCUUAGUCACUCGGGUGGGGAAUGUUGAGGAGUUAUUGUUCUUAUCGAUAAACAUUUGUUGAUACAAUCUUGUCUAUUGGUUAUGAUAGUUCCUUUAUGGUUCGGCAA